AGCGAACGCUGGCGGCAGGCUUAACACAUGCAAGUCGAGCGGGCAUCUUCGGAUGUCAGCGGCAGACGGGUGAGUAACACGUGGGAACGUACCCUUCGGUUCGGAACGACUCUGGGAAACUGGAGCUAAUACCGGAUACGCCCUUAUGGGGAAAGGUUUACUGCCGAAGGAUCGGCCCGCGUCUGAUUAGCUAGUUGGUGGGGUAACGGCCUACCAAGGCGACGAUCAGUAGCUGGUCUGAGAGGAUGAUCAGCCACACUGGGACUGAGACACGGCCCAGACUCCUACGGGAGGCAGCAGUGGGGAAUAUUGGACAAUGGGCGCAAGCCUGAUCCAGCCAUGCCGCGUGAGUGAUGAAGGCCUUAGGGUUGUAAAGCUCUUUUGUCCGGGACGAUAAUGACGGUACCGGAAGAAUAAGCCCCGGCUAACUUCGUG
rnacentral:rRNA from 1 species